AAACAAUCCAGUUGGGUUUCCGAUGGUUCACGACUUUACACAUUACAUAUUAUUACAUUCGUAUAAUACACUACUAGAUUCGUAGAACUCGUAUUAGUUACAAUAAGACCGUGACGGGCAAAAUUGAAUCGUAUUCUUGAGCAUUCCGAAAUAAUGAAAAUAUCGCCAACGACAAUAAUACGAACACAUUGAAAUUAAUAUCAUUUCCGUCUGACCGUUCGUGUGAAAGUUUCAUGUCGUUUAUUACACCUGCAGUGUACAUUAUUUAUUGGCGAAACAAAUAAAAAGCGCUGUUCACAUACACCACAGUGUCUCACGAAGAUAAUGUGAUCAUAGCAAUAUCUU